GCUAAUGGUACUCAGAGAUGAAGUUUGUUUUGAAAUGAAUUGAAAAUGAAUUGGGAAGAAGAAACCUGUGCACUACGAAAUGCACUCAGUAACCCCCAGCACACGCCGGAGAGCAAGAAGGUCAGGUGGAUCCUGAGAAAUGCAGUCAGACUCCAGAGCUUGACAAGUCCUCAGUGUGCAGGAAAAUCUAAGGGAAAUGCCCACAUUAACUCAUAUUGAUGAUUACCCCAGCAGAGUCUGGACUCUCCCUCGAUUCAGUGAACACACUGGUAUGUAGUAGAGGUAAGACCAUAGGCUGGAGCUGCUGUACUUGCAAGCUGAGAUAACACCAGAGCAAUCUCUGGAGUGGACAGUGGUGCAGCUGUGAGCUCCUUUGUUUUU
rnacentral:lncRNA from 1 species